rnacentral:rRNA from 1 species
CUACGGGACGCACCAGUGAGGAAUAUUGCACAAUGGGGGGAACCCUGAUGCAGCAACGCCGCGUGGAGGAUGACGCAUUUCGGUGUGUAAACUCCUUUUAUAUGUCAAGAAAAUGACGGUAGCAUAUGAAUAAGCACCGGCUAACUCCGUGCCAGCAGCCGCGGUAAUACGGAGGGUGCAAGCGUUACUCGGAAUCACUGGGCGUAAAGAGCGCGUAGGCGGGUUGGAAAGUCAGGUGUGAAAUCCUACAGCUUAACUGUAGAACUGCACUUGAAACUUCUAAUCUAGAGUAUGGGAGGGGGAGAUGGAAUUAGUGGUGUAGGGGUAAAAUCCGUAGAUAUCACUAGGAAUACCUAAAGCGAAGGCGAUCUCCUGGAACAUUACUGACGCUAAGGCGUGAAAGCGUGGGGAGCAAACAGGAUUAGAUACCCGUGUAGUC